rnacentral:rRNA from 1 species
UACGAAGGGUGCAAGCGUUAAUCGGAAUUACUGGGCGUAAAGCGUGCGUAGGUGGUUCGUUAAGUCGGAUGUGAAAGCCCCGGGCUCAACCUGGGAAUGGCAUCCGAUACUGGCGGACUGGAGUUCGAUAGAGGGUAGUGGAAUUCCCGGUGUAGCGGUGAAAUGCGUAGAGAUCGGGAGGAACAUCAGUGGCGAAGGCGGCUACCUGGAUCAGAACUGACACUGAGGCACGAAAGCGUGGGGAGCAAACAGG